rnacentral:rRNA from 1 species
AGUGAACGCUGGCGGUAGGCCUAACACAUGCAAGUCGAACGGCAGCACAGUAAGAGCUUGCUCUUACGGGUGGCGAGUGGCGGACGGGUGAGGAAUACAUCGGAAUCUACUUUUUCGUGGGGGAUAACGUAGGGAAACUUACGCUAAUACCGCAUACGACCUACGGGUGAAAGCAGGGGAUCUUCGGACCUUGCGCGAUUGAAUGAGCCGAUGUCGGAUUAGCUAGUUGGCGGGGUAAAGGCCCACCAAGGCGACGAUCCGUAGCUGGUCUGAGAGGAUGAUCAGCCACACUGGAACUGAGACACGGUCCAGACUCCUACGGGAGGCAGCAGUGGGGAAUAUUGGACGAUGGGCGCGAGCCUGAUCCAGCCAUACCGCGUGGGUGAAGAAGGCCUUCGGGUUGUAAAGCCCUUUUGUUGGGAAAGAAAAGCAGCAGGUUAAUACCCCGCUGUUCUGACGGUACCCAAAGAAUAAGCACCGGCUAACUUCGUG